AACAUCGCGCACCUGCGGGAACCUGCGGAAGGAUCAUUACCGAGUUUACAACUCCCAAACCCCUGUGAACAUACCUAUACGUUGCCUCGGCGGAUCAGCCCGCGCCCUGUAAAAAGGGACGGCCCGCCCGAGGACCCUAAACUCUGUUUUUAGUGGAACUUCUGAGUAAAACAAACAAAUAAAUCAAAACUUUCAGCAACGGAUCU
rnacentral:misc_RNA from 1 species